AUGGUAUAGGAGAGUGGUGGUAGUGGGUCUUAAUAAUCGUGGCAAAGGUACUGCCACCGCUGUCCGGCUGGCUUCCACGGGUGGCACCCUCACAAUGUAAAGCCCCACGAUCGACACGCCCCGGUCUACGUUCGGUCGUCCAAUCACGAAAGCAGCAUGGCGCUUUUGAAACCUGGUUAGGUGUACACACCAGACUACCGUGCACAGUACCUGCCUGUUUUACCUUGGGCAUUUACCUUUUGUAACAGAGUCUGAAACGCGGGAAAAAGGCACAACACACCAAAACACCGCGUGUCUCUCAUACACCCUCGUCGGAUACAGAUAUCAUCGAACGCGUUUGCGCCACCGCUGAACGAAAAAAAGAAAGGAUAAUAAAAAAAAAAUACAAAAAAAUACAAAAAAAUUUAAAAAAAAAAGAUGGAAUAAAAAGGAACCACUAACUAACCAGCGGUAAUCUUCGCGCUGAUCAACCUUAGGAUUUGUCAUUGAUUGAAUGGGGUUUUCUCAAAGUUCGCCAAACUGACAUUUUGCCGCCGUGAAUCCAUGAACCGCGGAGUACCAGAUUUGAAAAUAUCACUUUUUCGCAUCACCGAGUCAAUACUCCGAUUCGUCGAUCGAUUACAUUUUUUCAGCUGCAGAUUAGACGGACGAUAUGUAUACGUACGGAACCUAUACGGUGUGGGCUGGCGGAAUUAUCUUGCUUCGCAAAGUGUCUAUACGUGUCUCUACAAUUCGAUAUUGGAUGUCUAUUGGCUAUUUAUAAUGUAUAGGCUAUUCGAUCUGUACGUAGAUGUACAGGUAUGUGUCUGUGUGUGUGUGUGUGUGUGUUCACGUGUUGUUGUUCCUAACGUUUCGGAGACAUGCAACCUAUAUUCGGAUCAACCGGCUCCUGCAACUGAUGCAGCGACAGGUCUCAUUUUAUCUUGAGAUCAUAAAUGCGAUUCUACUAUUUUUCCUUCCCCUUUCGAAUGCUGUCCUUUUGUUUUUUGGUUUUUUUUUUUUCAUCCCAUCAGAACUUUCGCUCCGGAUUCAGCUUUUUCGAUCAUCUCUCCAACUGCAGCCCGUAUACGAUAAAACUGUCCAAGCUCCACGUGAGAAUUGAGAUAGUACUGAAAACAAAAAGUUUUGCAACAAUUUUUGAGAAUUUUCGCCAAUAGUUGGAAAAAAAAUUUUCGUAACGUUAUAACGGUAGAUCGAUAAUAUUCUUCGAUCUGAUUCGCUGACGGGUCAUCACCUACAUCGUACAUGAGAACGAGGUACGUUGCAUCGUUUUAAUUAAACCCACUGACAAUCGUAGGCACGUUUUAUUUGACAAACGGGAGCACAAUUAGCGAGUAACAAGAGUAAGGGGAAGAAGGAAAUUGAAAAAAAAAAUCCGACGAUCGAAAAUCCCACCCUCCUGUGGGAACAGGUUCGGAUUAAAUACGUGCGUGCGUGCGCGUGCGUGUGUGUGUAUGUAAUAGGUAAGUUCACGCGUUAGCGAGCGUUGAGGUGGUCAGUAUACUUACUCGUUUGAUGUCCGCCUCCACCUUUUUUUCUCCACACGCACUUGAUCGCUGCACGCAUAUCCGAUAACGCACGCGCAUCGCUCAGGCAUUCGCACACACGCCUCUGCUUACCAAUCGUCGAACGAUCAUUGUCAAUUAUACCGAUGAAAUUCAAAAAUUCUAUAAUCUAUAUCCCUUUUAACGAUAUUCGAUCAAAUCCGCACCAAUUAACUCGUCUCAUUAACAAGAACAUCCUGAACACAUGUUAUCCGUGUAUAGGGUCUGGUUUGAAUCGCUCGUUCGAAAGAAUAGAAGAAAAAAAAAAUGAUGAUUCUAAUUCAUUUUGAGCAAAUUUUUGAUACUUAUUUUUUUUUUUUGUUCUUGUAACACAUACGUCUACAUAAAUGUAUAUGCGGUGGGGGGAUCGGGGUGGACGCACACUAUAGAUUCCGUAUAUAAAAUCAGGAGGGUGGAAUCGUCGUAGACUCACCUGGUUUUGCCAUCUAACGGGGUUUUUGAUAACUGUACGUUUAUUUUACCUGGGAAACAGGUGAGACGCAGGAUUACCGAUAGUAAGAGGAUUUAUCAAGGGAAUAUUGACGGAUGCGUUGCAGGCGGAAUCGCACAUUUAUUCGCCGUUAAAAUCGAUGCAAGAGUCAGCUCCGUUAUUUAAUUUUUUUUUUACAUUUUUUUUCAAUUUUUUCAACAACGUUACGCGAAUUAGCCGAGAUUUUCAGCGAUUGACGGAUAUCUCUGUUCACUUACCAACGUCGUCGAUGAUCUCAUCCGAUCGAAAACUGGGAGUAAUCAGAGUCAUCCUUCGUGAAUUUAAUCGGGAACCUGCGAACAAAUCAGAUCAGAACGCGAUCUGCGUUAUAAUACGUUCACCGCAUUACCGCAUCUAUACCGUAAUAAUACUCGAAAUAGUCGGAUACGUUGUGCGAUGUGCGGAGAAUUAGUUGCGGUGCGUUGCGCGCAAUUAACAUGAAUCUAAAAAUAGAUCCGACCACGGUAUAGCGAACAAUUGUGAAAGGGAAGGGAAAAUAAAAAAAAAUCAGAUCAUUAAAUAAAUAAAAAUGAAAGUACACGCGUAUGAACAGGUAUUAUUCGCAGUAUGUUGUAUCACGGUCGACAAUGACGGGGACCAUCCUGAACCAGCUCAACGUGAAUUUUAUAAUUAGAUAAAUUCAUCGUCGCUAUCUUUGCGAUCGCGAUAUUCCCUUUGAAAUAUAAACCAACAAUCAAAUCUGCAGUUACGGCAGCCACGACUCCAGAUUAUACUUUGAUACAGUUUUUUUACCCCCGGUGCAGCUUACGCUCUGUAACUCCCGCCGUGUACAUAUGUAUGUACCACCGAUACAUAAAAUACGUACAUGUACCACAGAGAAAUAUAUGUAUAUAUAUAUAUAUAUUUAUGUAUUUAAU